AACGAACGCUGGCGGCAGGCUAAACACAUGCAAGUCGAGCGCCCCGCAAGGGGAGCGGCAGACGGGUGAGUAACGCGUGGGAACGUACCCUUUGCUACGGAAUAGCUCCGGGAAACUGGAAUUAAUACCGUAUGUGCCCUACGGGGGAAAGAUUUAUCGGCAAAGGAUCGGCCCGCGUUGGAUUAGCUUGUUGGUGGGGUAAUGGCCUACCAAGGCGACGAUCCAUAGCUGGUCUGAGAGGAUGAUCAGCCACAUUGGGACUGAGACACGGCCCAAACUCCUACGGGAGGCAGCAGUGGGGAAUAUUGGACAAUGGGCGCAAGCCUGAUCCAGCCAUGCCGCGUGAGUGAUGAAGGCCUUAGGGUUGUAAAGCUCUUUCACCGGAGAAGAUAAUGACGGUAUCCGGAGAAGAAGCCCCGGCUAACAUCGUGCCAGCCGCCGCCGUAAGAC
rnacentral:rRNA from 1 species